UGGAUGCCCUAUUUUACAUAAUCAGCAGGAGCCAGCCUGGGACAGAGCCCAUAAAUAGCCAGGCUAUGCGCCUGAUUUUGGAAGGCAGCUCCAGGGCCAGGAGCACUAAUUUUCUAAAAAAAAACAUUCUUAAAGGAGCCAGUGCCAUCUUUGGGCCCUACUUGGUGGGAGAGUGCCACUGGACCCUCUUUCAUUGCAACUUGAAAGAGGGAACUAUUACAUACA